rnacentral:rRNA from 1 species
GACGAACGCUGGCGGCGUGCUUAACACAUGCAAGUCGAACGGAAAGGCCCUGCUUUUGUGGGGUGCUCGAGUGGCGAACGGGUGAGUAACACGUGAGUAACCUGCCCUUGACUUUGGGAUAACUUCAGGAAACUGGGGCUAAUACCGGAUAGGAGCUCCUGCUGCAUGGUGGGGGUUGGAAAGUUUCGGCGGUUGGGGAUGGACUCGCGGCUUAUCAGCUUGUUGGUGGGGUAGUGGCUUACCAAGGCUUUGACGGGUAGCCGGCCUGAGAGGGUGACCGGCCACAUUGGGACUGAGAUACGGCCCAGACUCCUACGGGAGGCAGCAGUGGGGAAUAUUGCACAAUGGGCGGAAGCCUGAUGCAGCAACGCCGCGUGCGGGAUGACGGCCUUCGGGUUGUAAACCGCCUUCGCCUGUGACGAAGCGUGAGUGACGGUAAUGGGUAAAGAGGCACCGGCUAACUACGUG